rfam:Triticum aestivum genome assembly, contig: Triticum_aestivum_CS42_TGACv1_scaffold_531230_6DL
UAUAUACUCCCUCCGUCCGGAAAUACUUGUCAUUGAAAUGGAUGUAUCUAGAUGUAUUUUAGUUGUAGAUACAUCCAUUUUCAUCCAUUUUGAUGACAAGUAAUUACGGACGGAGGGAGUAUAUG